AUUGAACGCUGGCGGCAGGCCUAACACAUGCAAGUCGAACGAGUGGCGGACGGGUGAGUAAUGUCUGGGAAACUGCCUGAUGGAGGGGGAUAACUACUGGACACGGUAGCUACUACCGCAUACCAUCGGAUGUGCCCAGAUGGGAUUAGCUAGUAGGUGGGGUAAAGGCUCACCUAGGCGACGAUCCCUAGCUGUCCUGAUAGGAUGACCAGCCACACUGGGACGGAGACACGGUCAAGACUCCGACGGGAGGCAGCAGGGGGGAAUAUUGGACAAUGGGCGCAAGCCUGAUGCAGCCAUGCCGCGUGAAUGAAGAAGGCCUUCGGUUUGUAAAGUACUUUCGGCGGGGAGGCGUUACCCGCACAGGAAGCACCGGCUAACUCCGUGCCAGCAGCCGCGGUAAUUC
rnacentral:rRNA from 1 species